rnacentral:rRNA from 1 species
CGCCCGGGGCGCGCCCCGGGCGGGGCGGGGGCACGGGGGUUGGAGGGCAAGUCUGGUGCCAGCAGCCGCGGUAAUUCCAGCUCCAAUAGCGUAUAUUAAAGUUGUUGCAGUUAAAAAGCUCGUAGUUGAAUUUCGGGGUUAGUAGGUUGGUCAUGCCUCUGGUAUGUACUGGUCUCACUGAUUCCUCCUUCCUGAUGAACCGUAAUGCCAUUAA